GGUGGCCUAGUGGUUAGAGCGGCCGCCUCGGAUGCGGGAGGUCGUGGGUUUGAUCCCUGUCAAGUCAUACCAUAGACA